UUCCUAUUUACUAUUUUAACUUUUUACUUAGGACAAUGACACUGGCACUUGAGGAAACUGAAGCUCCCAAGAUAUGCUUUGCUGGGGGAACAGGUACUCCUACGUGGGAAGCUCUUUUCUAAUCCCUGAAAGCAAUCUAUUUAUACCCUGAAAUCCGAGUCUUUUAGGAAAUGUAUCAUUAUUAUAGCUUGCAUAACUACAAUUAUGUCAGCGAACUAUUCGUCCUGCCUAGAGUCAUCUAAACCAUGUUCUGAGGCCUCCAUGACAGGCGGCGUUGGCAGCUGUAUUCUCUCUUCAUUAGCUGCGCUCUGACUUCCCUGUGGUCCUCUGAGUGGCCUCUUUGUUCCAGGCUUGUGCAACUGGAUAACAAAGGGGGGUGCUUACUGCUCACUUUACCUCUGGAAGACGGUGAAUACUGCCUUUCAAGCCUUGGAUUCAUUUCCUCUCCUGGAUCUAACGCUGGGCGAGACAACCACAGCUCCAGACAGCGUCAGGUGGAGCCAGCAGCAAGGCGGGUCAGCUGGCACAUGGCUUUUGCCCUUUGCUCUUCAUCUUAUGGCCUUGAGGAUAAAACUUUAUGUGCUGUAGAUGGCGAAGCAAGAAGAGUGGACGAGCCUGGUUCCUUGAGCAGCAGCGCCAGCCCCAGCCUCUCUAUCCACGGACUGCUUCUUAAGUGAGAAAAGAUAAAUCCAUUAACUGCUCAAGCUGUUUGGUCUUUAUUACAUGGAGUCAAUGCAAGCUUGACCGACAUGACCUCUUGCUUUUCCCCCAUGGAAGGGAUGGGCUCAGAUAGUUAAGGAAUUUGAGCAAGCUCAUUUACACCCUUGAGACUUUGAAACUUGCUACUCAAAUGGUGGCCUGUGGACCAGCAGCGUCAGCAUCACUUGGGAGCCUGUUAGAAAUGCAGCAGGCAGGCCCCACCCCAGACCUACUGAGUCAGAAUCUGUUUUAACAAGCUCCCCAGCUGAUUUGUGUGUGCAACCGUUUGAGAAGCUUUGGCCUGGAUGACAAGUAUCAAAACUGAGAUUUGAUCCCAGGCCUACAUGUUUCCAAAGUCCCCACUCUUCUUCUGAAAUUCAAGGGAAUGAGAAGAUAUGGGUGUCUUUUGUAAAGAUAUGGAUGUCUUCUGAGGUAGAAGGAAAGGAAGCUGAGAGAUCUUGUGGCGGAGGGCCUCAAUCUUCUCAGGAUUAAGGAGUGUUAGGCUGUUCAUUGCCAAGCAGGAUGCUCACCUACUGUGUGCACUAGGUGCUAAAGUGAAAGACCUUCUUUGCCUUCAAGGUGUUCAAAGGUAGUGGGGAGAUUGUGCAAUGACCAAUCAUUAUAAUAUUAUAGAGAAUGCUAUAGUAGAGUCUUGAGAAUAAUGGAACAGCAUCCUCUCCCCCCCACCGCCCUUAAAUUCCCCUUGGAAGCGUAUUGCAUCAGUGACGGUGACCACAAUGUCCUGAGUUACAGCAGACAUAACUGUUAGCUGGUUGAUUUGAUCAGUAAUGAGACACAGGCUGGGCUAAAGUCAGGCCUGAAUUGAUGAAAUUAUACUGAGCAACUCAGUUUUCACUUUACUUUGCAUGCAGUAGACACUACUUGGUACAACUGGUUAUUUCAACCUGGAGAAGAAAGAGGUGGGCUAUGGAGGGGCUGAGCAGGGGGUCAGACAAGAGGUUGCCAAAGUGCCAGAGC
rnacentral:lncRNA from 1 species